rnacentral:rRNA from 1 species
AGUGAACGCUGGCGGUAGGCCUAACACAUGCAAGUCAAACGGCAGCACAGUAAGAGCUUGCUCUUACGGGUGGCGAGUGGCGGACGGGUGAGGAAUACAUCGGAAUCUACUUUUUCGUGGGGGAUAACGUAGGGAAACUUACGCUAAUACCGCAUACGACCUACGGGUGAAAGCAGGGGAUCUUCGGACCUUGCGCGAUUGAAUGAGCCGAUGUCGGAUUAGCUAGUUGGCGGGGUAAAGGCCCACCAAGGCGACGAUCCGUAGCUGGUCUGAGAGGAUGAUCAGCCACACUGGAACUGAGACACGGUCCAGACUCCUACGGGAGGCAGAAGUGGGGAAUAUUGGACAAUGGGCGCAAGCCUGAUCCAGACAUACCGCGUGGGUGAAGAAGGCCUUCGGGUUUUAAAGCACUUUUGUUGGGAAACAAAAGUCGACGCUUACAACACACUCUUUCCCACCGCACGCUCAGCCUAACUAGCGUUUAAUCCUGUC